ACACCGUUGGUGAAACGGUAUCAUGCAUCCUUGCCAUUAAACAGGUUUAUUGGAUGCGGCAAGGGUUCGACUCCCUUACGGUGUA
rnacentral:tRNA from 1 species